rnacentral:rRNA from 1 species
UUUGUACACACCGCCCGUCGCUACUACCGAUUGAACGGCUCAGUGAGGCCUUCGGACUGGCCCAGGGAGGUGGGCAACUACCACCCAGGUGCCGGAAAGUUGUACGAACUCGGUCGUUUAGAGGAAGUAAAAGUCGUAACAAGGUCUCCGUUGGUGAACCAGCGGAGGGAUCAUUACAGAGUUGAAAAACUCCAACCCCUGUGAACCUACCUUUGCUGUUGCUUCGGCGGAAGAUGGCCCCCCGGGCCGGGCGCCGCCGGAGGUCACAAACCCUGAAUUUUUAGUGUAUCUCUGAGUACAAAACCAAAUAAUUAAAACUUUCAACAACGGAUCUCUUGGUUCUGGCAUCGAUGAAGAACGCAGCGAAAUGCGAUAAGUAAUGUGAAUUGCAGAAUUCAGUGAAUCAUCGAAUCUUUGAACGCACAUUGCGCCCGCCGGUAUUCCGGCGGGCAUGCCUGUCCGAGCGUCAUUUCACCACUCAAGCCCAGCUUGGUGUUGGGGCACCCGGCCGCCUGGCGGUCGGGGCCCCCAAGAACAUCGGCGGUCUCGCCAGGACCCUGAACGCAGUAACUCGCGGUAAAACGCGCUUCGUUCGGAGGCUUCCCGGCGGGCUCCAGCCGCUAAACCCCCUAAACUUCUUAGGUUGACCUCGGAUCAGGUAGGAAUACCCGCUGAACUUAAGCAUAUCAAUAAGCGGAGGAAAAGAAACCAACAGGGAUUGCCCUAGUAACGGCGAGUGAAGCG